UGAGCCGGGAACGUAGUUGGUUUCCUGGAA
rnacentral:piRNA from 1 species